UCCCUGGUGGCUCAGAGGUUAAAGCCCCUGCCUGCAAUGCAGGAGACCCAGGUUCGAUCCCUGGGUUGGGAA
rnacentral:tRNA from 1 species